rnacentral:misc_RNA from 1 species
CUAUCUGAGAAAAUUCCAAAAGAUACUUCUAGCAAGGUGCGGAUUAAUCGCGAUCUCUACUCUCAUGAAAAAAUAAUGGAGACAGCACCGACAUUGCCUGAUUUUGCUUUGUCACUGAAACCUGACGAGUAUCAGCUUCCUUCAGUGGACUCAUCUUGGAAUGAAGAGAAUGUGAAUGGAGGUUAAGCCUAUUCCAACCAAUUCAAGCGUGAAAAAAGCAGGCUGUAUGUCACAUUUGCAGAAAGCAGCUAUGCAAGAGCCAUCUCAAAACUUGGAGUGGCCAAUUAAACAGGUGUAUUAUUUGUGUACCAAAGGUACAUUUUAGCCCCACAUUUUUUUCCCUAAAAUUUUCUUUCCCUUUUCCAACAUCAAAGAUUUGUAGCUUAUCCUGUGAUAGAGUACGAGUUCCUGUUGUGUGUAAAUUUCUUACUG